GGGAGAUAUCAUUACAUCCUUUCAAUACUUAAGGAGGGCUUAUAGGAAAGAUGGGAGAGACUUUUU